AUGGGAGAGGGGCGACAUUUUCUCCCAGUCAAGUACGAGAAGAUACCAUUCUUUUGUCAAGUCUGCGGACUCAUGGGACACAAUCAUGAAGAGUGUGGAGAUGGUGUUUGGGAACCAAAACAGCGACAGUUUGGAAGUUGGAUGCUGGCCCAGCGGAAGGACCCGGCUCCGGAACAGCAGCAAUAUGGAGGACGUACUACUCGAGGGGGCCGGUCCAGGGGGCGUGGUAGGUUUGGUGCUGGUCGGGGUGAUGCUCCACCACGUAAGAGGUCUUCUACAGAAGCUAAACUGGAUGGUGAUGAGGAGGAUGGGGAAACUGCUACAAGCCCCUUGAAGCCUGCUGCUGAUCCUACCAAUUCAAAGGAGGCUGAACCACCAAUGCGCAAGAAUCUUAGUGAGGCGUUCUCAACUAGCAAAUUUGAAGCCGGCAAGGAGUUGUUAAUCACACCACCGCUCCCGCCGGCGUACGUCUCACCCAGGGAACUGAAGAAGGCAAAGAAGGCAGUCUCACCAACAAAGAAGAAUGAUAAGUUGGCACUAUUGGCGGGCUCCGACAGUGAGCGCCGCCAGGCCCAAUGA
rnacentral:rRNA from 1 species